GUGGGGAAUCUUGCGCAAUGGGCGAAAGCCUGACGCAGCCAUGCCGCGUGAAUGAUGAAGGUCUUAGGAUUGUAAAAUUCUUUCACCGGGGACGAUAAUGACGGUACCCGGAGAAGAAGCCCCGGCUAACUUCGUGCCAGCAGCCGCGGUAAUACGAAGGGGGCUAGCGUUGCUCGGAAUUACUGGGCGUAAAGGGCGCGUAGGCGGACAGUUUAGUCAGAGGUGAAAGCCCAGGGCUCAACCUUGGAAUUGCCUUUGAUACUGUCUGUCUUGAGUACGGGAGAGGUGAGUGGAACUCCGGGUGUAGAGGUGAAAUUCGUAGAUAGUCGGAAGAACACCAGUGGCGAAGGCGACUCACUGGCCCGUUACUGACGCUGAGGCGCGAAAGCGUGGGGAGCAAACAGGAUUAGAAACCCUGGUAGUCC
rnacentral:rRNA from 1 species